rnacentral:rRNA from 1 species
CCUACGGGGGGCAGCAGUGGGGAAUAUUGGACAAUGGGGGCAACCCUGAUCCAGCCAUGCCGCGUGUGUGAAGAAGGCCCUCGGGUUGUAAAGCACUUUCAGUGAGGAAGAACGCCUGGUGGUUAAUACCCAUCAGGAAAGACAUCACUCACAGAAGAAGCACCGGCUAACUCCGUGCCAGCAGCCGCGGUAAUACGGAGGGUGCGAGCGUUAAUCGGAAUUACUGGGCGUAAAGCGCGCGUAGGUGGCUUGAUAAGCCGGUUGUGAAAGCCCCGGGCUCAACCUGGGAACGGCAUCCGGAACUGUGAAGCUAGAGUGCAGGAGAGGAAGGUAGAAUUCCCGGUGUAGCGGUGAAAUGCGUAGAGAUCGGGAGGAAUACCAGUGGCGAAGGCGGCCUUCUGGACUGACACUGACGCUGAGGUGCGAAAGCGUGGGUAGCAAACAGGAUUAGAUACCCUAGUAGUC